AAGCAGCUUCUCCAACCCAUUUCAGCCCACUAGGCCAUCUUCCUUCGUUUCUUACCAAUCACUUUCCACACAAAUAGAAGGUGGAUAUGACUGCACGUGUUAUAUUUCUUAUGACUCCUUUUCCCCCUCCUUUCUGCCACCCCCCCAAAGGCAAUUAAGUACACAUAUUGCAAACAACAGUGCUUUUAACACUGGUCCCCUCACCCAAGAGGAAAAUUUCCCAACUCCCACACUACCACCUAUGUAAAUAAUCACCACCAAUGGACAGGACCAGACAUGGUCCAGCAUUCCUCAGGUACACCGUCCAUCAUAGCCAAGACUGAUUAUUUUCUAUGAAAGACCACUACAUAAGAGAACACCACUCCAUCGAGUCCGGGCAGAGCAGAGAGGACCGCAAAAAUACUUAAACUGAGCACAAAGGAAGAUACAACGAACUCGGGAAGAACCAAGGACACGACUACAGCCUCUCUCAGAGGCAACACAAAGCAAAGCAGAGGAAGGAAUACAACAACACCAGAGACCGUCUUGGAGGUGUAAAUCGAACAAAGAGCAAGUGCCGCUGAACCCCAAAAGGCUUCAUGUUUCCCCCAGAUGGGAAAAUGCAGGGACAAUGACUGAAGAGCUGCAUGGAAGAGAAGGUGACCACAGAGAUAGUCCUGUCAUAACUUAGUCACUCUCUAAAGAGACAAAGCAGAAGAAAGGCACUGGGCUGAGCACAAAAAUAGCCUGAAAGGAGAAAACUUCAAACUGUCUGAGACCUGCAACUUAAAUAUGCCAAAACUUAUUGUUGCUUCAAGCAGUAUUAAGUCCUGCUUAGUGCCCAGCAGGAAUGAUGUAUAUUUAGUGAGUGACUUCAAUUUCAGCACUGAAAACGUGGAUAUUCCACCACCUUACUAGGACCCAAAUCCCAUCCACUACUGUAGUAGUGAUUUCAGACAUUGGCUUGAAUGAAAUUUUUUCCUACAAUUUUCAAAUUUAGUUCUCAACAGCAAAAGGGUGAGAGGUUCAGAAAUAACACGGGAACAGGUGACCACUGAGAUGUGAAUAGAACAGAGCAAAAUCAUGUUCUUUAUUGCUUUUCAUUACACCAGGACAUCUACUGUAGUGUGGAAAACUAAAUGAAAGACCUGGCAAAUAUGAAAGAGUAAAGUAUCUCCAGCUGCAUGCAGUAAGGAUGCAAUAGCAUUAAGGAAUCCUGAGGUUAUUACAAACUACAGGUACAGGGCUCCAUGGAUUGUGUACUUUCAUGAUGGACACUGGAAAAAAAUGACAUGUACGCAGAAUAUAUGUAGACUUUGUAAAUAUGUUAAUAGUUACAUUCAAGAUUCAGAUUUUGCUGUAAGAAUCAUUAGGAAGUACAAUCUUAGUGGAAAGUUAAGUAACUUAUAAUUUGUCCUAAUACUUUAAACCUGAAAACAAAUAAGGGGGUUUUUGUUAAUAGUAAGCCGUACAUUUUGGGAAUACUCUUAUCAUGUAUGUGCAAAAAAGCUCCCCAAAAUGUUUAAAUACAUUUAACAGGCCAGAAUUUGUCUCAAGGUCAGUUGUACUGAAAUUUUGUGGUUAAGUUCGUGUCUUCACUUUUUCUUGGUGACUGAAGUUUUUUAUUGUUACAAUGCCAUUACAAAGAACUGCCCUAAGAAUAUCCAUGUAAGAACUUUUCUAUAUGAAAGCGGUAAAUAAAAGCAGCAUUUGUCACUGAUUAGCCUGGACG
ensembl:lncRNA